CUGUGAGAUUUAGUGGAGGUCCAGACUGAUCUCAUGAAAUGGCGUAUGUAUGACACGCCAAUUUAAUGCUAUCAUUGGCAUAUUAUCAAGACACAUACUCGCUUUUUAGUGUGUUUAUCAACGCUGUUUGGUCUCCAUUGACUUACAUUACCUUACGAUUGUGUGUCAAUUGACGCCGUAGUGAGUAGUGUGAAAGGGCGAAUUGCCACACAGGGAGGUUGGCUGGGGUGGUAGAUGGGUAAAACACAGGAUUUCACCCAGGAGAGCGGGGUUUGUAUCCCAUGUGUGGUGUUUCCUAAAGCCAACCCCGUUCUUUUACUAAACUCAACAGUCGCUUUCUUCUUUUCCUAAACCCAACCUGGUUUUCUUUUCCUAAUUCCAACCGUUUGUCCUUUUCUUGUUUUCCUAAAACCUGCGUGACCAGCCUCGCAAUAACACUCCAUGUGGCUUUAUGAAGUGCAACGCAGUGUGUAUGUUUACUCUGUGACGUUGCAGACUGCCGUCCCCUGUAUACAGCGUAGACAAUAGCUCAUAGUGUGUACAGAUAAAACGCCACUUGGCUUAAGAAAGUUGGCGUAUAUUUUUACGCAAAGUCAUGAUGCC